UUUGAGAACCCUAUCCUAAAAUCCACUGUCGCAUAUCAUCUCUUUGCAACAUAUCAGACAUACACACACAUAAAACCCCCCAUCAUCUUCACCUCUCUCGCAAAUCCGGUCAUCGGAGUGAGCUCCGACUGAAAUUCCGGCGGUCACAACUGAAUCUCUGGCGAAAUUGACAUCCACAACCAGUUACCUUUCCCCCUCCGUCUCUUCUCCGGCUCCGGCGACCGGAGUGACGCCGGUUAACCGGUCGACACUCACACCCGGCUCCCCUUCUUCUCCGGCGCCGAGAAACCGGACGGCAAACAUCAACCCACCCCCCCUUCUUCUUUCUCAACUGACGGAUCGGAGCACCACCACCACAAGUCCGGUGGUGGUGCGGCGGCUACACAUAGAGAGACCGAGAGAGAGAGAAAGAACCGGCGGUCGGAGUCUCGGACCGCCGGUCGGUUCAAUUAUCCGACGGUCUUUGUUUCUGACCGACGGUAUGAUGCGAUGAUAAAGAUGAGACGUUGAAGAUAAUCGGAGAAACCGAUCUUAUCAGUGAAGUUCGCCGGCGACGGCAGUGGAGUGUUCUCCGCUGAAAUUUGACGCUUGUGUUUGGUUCAGGUCAUCCUUGGUACGGAUCAAGAGGUUCAGGUUUCAUAUUCGACACAGUUCGGGUCAACAGUAACUGGUCAACGAGCAUUCGGGUUAUGGUUUGGUUCGGGUCUCGGUCAGUUAGGGUGCGGUUCAGGUCAGAUUCAGAAUUUCGUGGCUCGGGUUGACUCGGUCAACCCUGGUCAACACAGCGAGUUGACUCAGUCAACUCAACCGGUCAACUCAGCCAACUUUUCGGUUCGACAAAGAAUGAACACUCUUCAAAAUCAGGAGAAAUAAACAACCACCACCAGCAACCACCUCCUCCGGCGAAACUCACCAGGCUUCUUCUCCGGCUCUCUCUCUCCUUAAUCUUUAGAAGCUAAUGAAGGGUCUGAAUGUUGUUUUAGAGAGAGAGAACGAUGACAACAAUCUUCAUCAUGUUCAUCUAUAACACCAAGAACACACAUACAAGUGAGAGAGAGAGAGAGAGAGAGGAAGUUUGAACACACAUACAGACGACUCGGGUCAGAUUCAUGUUCAGAAAUAAUGAUAUACGGUUGACGAUUUUGUUGGUUUGGUUGCUGUUUGGGCUUUUGAUCUGAAUAAUCCAUAAAGAUAUUCAAUUGACAAGCUGGAUGGAUGUAGGCGACGUUAAUGCGGGGACAUUGAAUAAGUCAAAUCUUCUGGGAAAGAAGUUUUCGUUCAUUUAUAACAUGUGUUAGUGGUUCAUGCUGUAACAGAUCCAUAAACAAGUUUUCAAGCUGUAACAAGUUUUCGUUCGUUUAUAAAAUGUGUUAGUGGUUCAUGCUGUAAUAGAUCCAUAAAGAAGUUUUCAUGCUAUAACAAGUUUUCGU
rnacentral:lncRNA from 1 species